rnacentral:tRNA from 1 species
CGGAGUGUAGCUCAAUGGUGGAGUGCUGGCUUUGGAGGCUAGAGGUUAAGAGUUCGAGUCUCUUCUCUCCGAC